rnacentral:lncRNA from 1 species
GCUCAGACUGUGAAAGAGACAGAAAGGUUGCCAUUAGCCAUGAAGUGGCUCCUCAUCACCUUUGCCCUCACUCUUCUUGUCUCAGGGAAACAAAGUUUGCUGCCACAAUUGUCAUGGAACAACUUGAAAAAGAAAUGGGAUAAACAUAAUGAGUCAGAAGACAAAUUUCCGGAAAGAGAUAAUUUCAAUGGCCUAAUCUGCCCAACCUGCAAUGUGAUGGGAGCUCAGCAAGUCUGCAAUGAAGAAAAGAAGCUUUGUACCUACAAGAACAACAGUUGCCUCCUUCUCAAAGGGAACCUAAAAAUGGGCCAUUUUUUCUAUGAAAUAGUAAUGAAGAGAUGUGGUUCUGAAGAAGAUUGUAAAAAUGACAUCACAGAUUUAUAUGGUUUCAAGUUAUGGACUAAGGAGAAGAUCUGUAUGAAAGCUGCAUUUGCUUUGACACCCAGAGGUCCAGUUCUGACCACCAUUACAGUACUAUUGGUCAUCAUUGCUUGGUUGCAGUUGUUCUGAAGAACUUUACAAUAGAUUAUCCUUCUAUCAAGUCAGCCACCAAAUCACAGAAUCAACAUCUUCUAAUUUGAAGGAAUGUAUGAUUCAUUAACAACUAUAAUUUUUACUGACUUUUUUUUUUGUUAGUAGUUAAGUAGUUAUUUAUUUUUAUAUAUUUUAUUUAUAUAUAUUUAUAUAUAUUUAUAUAUAUUAUAUAUAUUUAUAUAUAUUUAUUAUAUAUAUUAUAUUUAUAUAUAUUUAUAUAUAUUAUUAUAAGUAGUUAGUAGUUAAGAUGCUAUUUAUUCAUUUUUUUUGUUCAUUUCACUUCCCUAAUGCAAGAAAGUUUGUAUGAUUUUUAGUGCAACAAUAUCAGACCAAUUC